rnacentral:lncRNA from 1 species
GAAAAAGGUGUGUCCACCUAGAAUAAUUCGUUUGCUGGAAGUUCUGUUGUUGGCAGAAAAUGGAAGCUACAAACUAGUGUGGUUAUCAGCAGGGAAUGGGAUCAAAGUUUCAGUCCAACAAGUCCAGCAACUUUCAGCUUGAAGGCCAAGGUGUUACUACUUAGAAUUUAGGGCACAGAAGGCUGGUGUGUGUCGGCAGUGAUAUUUGGGAGAACGAGUCUGUUUGGGAGACACUUUAGGUCAUACCAGAGCAGCUGCUGACAUAUGAACCUCGCAGAUGAAGAUGCCAUAGCAUGGCUAUUUCUCGACUGCACUGCUGAGGGUAAGAUAGUGAGAAAAUGCUUUUUCGUAGCAGAGGAAAUAGAGGCCCAGAAUGGAAAAGCAACCCCUGAACCAAUUACUCAGCAUGAGAUGACAGAGGCGGAAUUAGAAUCAGGAUCCAUGUACCUCAAGCCAGUGUUCCUUCUCUCUGCCUUGCUCCGUAGGAUCAGAGGAUCAGAG